AGGAAAUUUACCUUCUCUUAAUUCUACCACUUUUUACUUGACUAGACUUGUUAAGGGUAUACAUUUUCUGUUCAGAAAACUAGUGUUUUUAUUGGCUUAUCUAUUGUGAUUUUGUUUUAAAAUAUGUUAAUUUCUCAAUUUAGGCUUAUUAUUUUGUUUUCUGUAGUUUUUUGACUUUUUGAGACUGAUGCUUAUUUUUUGCUUGUAUACAAAUGAAUGUGUUGAAGACUUUUGAACUGUCCUUUGAGUUCAAAUAUGUUCACAUCCCAGCCAUUUUGAUAUGUAGUAGUCUUGUUUUCUAAGUAGUAUAUCAUUGUGUUUUAAAUUUCUGGUUCAAUAAUUAAGUUUUUCAAAAUAUCUGUAUGGUUGGCUUAAAUUUUUUUUUUUUUUUUUUUUGCUAGUUGUGGGAUUUUUACCUUGUGGGAAAAAAAUGUGGUUUAUGUAGUUUCUGUUUAUUGAGGUUUGGGGGCCUAGCAUCUUUAAAAAGUGUUCUAUGGAUGUUAUAAAUGAAGAUUUAUUUAGUUUAUAUAGGACAGAGGUGAAUGUGUAUUCAUUCAACCAAUUUAUUCAAAUUUAAUGUUCUUAUUG
rnacentral:lncRNA from 1 species